rnacentral:rRNA from 1 species
UUUAUGGAGAGUUUGAUCCUGGCUCAGGAUGAACGCUGGCGGCGUGCCUAAUACAUGCAAGUCGAGCGAACAGAUAAGGAGCUUGCUCCUUUGACGUUAGCGGCGGACGGGUGAGUAACACGUGGGUAACCUACCUAUAAGACUGGAAUAACUCCGGGAAACCGGGGCUAAUGCCGGAUAACAUGUUGAACCGCAUGGUUCUACAGUGAAAGACGGUCUUGCUGUCACUUAUAGAUGGACCCGCGCCGUAUUAGCUAGUUGGUGGGGUAACGGCCUACCAAGGCGACGAUACGUAGCCGACCUGAGAGGGUGAUCGGCCACACUGGAACUGAGACACGGUCCAGACUCCUACGGGAGGCAGCAGUAGGGAAUCUUCCGCAAUGGGCGAAAGCCUGACGGAGCAACGCCGCGUGAGUGAUGAAGGUCUUCGGAUCGUAAAGCUCUGUUGUUAGGGAAGAACAAAUGUGUAAGUAACUGUGCACAUCUUGACGGUACCUAACCAGAAAGCCACGGCUAACUACGUGCCAGCAGCCGCGGUAAUACGUAGGUGGCAAGCGUUAUCCGGAAUUAUUGGGCGUAAAGCGCGCGUAGGCGGUUUUUUAAGUCUGAUGUGAAAGCCCACGGCUCAACCGUGGAGGGUCAUUGGAAACUGGAAAACUUGAGUGCAGAAGAGGAAAGUGGAAUUCCAUGUGUAGCGGUGAAAUGCGCAGAGAUAUGGAGGAACACCAGUGGCGAAGGCGGCUUUCUGGUCUGCAACUGACGCUGAUGUGCGAAAGCGUGGGGAUCAAACAGGAUUAGAUACCCUGGUAGUCCACGCCGUAAACGAUGAGUGCUAAGUGUUAGGGGGUUUCCGCCCCUUAGUGCUGCAGCUAACGCAUUAAGCACUCCGCCUGGGGAGUACGGUCGCAAGACUGAAACUCAAAGGAAUUGACGGGGACCCGCACAAGCGGUGGAGCAUGUGGUUUAAUUCGAAGCAACGCGAAGAACCUUACCAAAUCUUGACAUCCUUUGACCGCUCUAGAGAUAGAGUUUUCCUCUUCGGAGGACAAAGUGACAGGUGGUGCAUGGUUGUCGUCAGCUCGUGUCGUGAGAUGUUGGGUUAAGUCCCGCAACGAGCGCAACCCUUGAACUUAGUUGCCAUCAUUCAGUUGGGCACUCUAAGUUGACUGCCGGUGACAAACCGGAGGAAGGUGGGGAUGACGUCAAAUCAUCAUGCCCCUUAUGAUUUGGGCUACACACGUGCUACAAUGGACAAUACAAAGGGCAGCGAAACCGCGAGGUCAAGCAAAUCCCAUAAAGUUGUUCUCAGUUCGGAUUGUAGU